rnacentral:misc_RNA from 1 species
CAUGUUAAACUCCCAAAACAACAGAAAGCAGCAGGAAAAUGAAUUCACGUUUCGUUUCCUUACUUUCUAUAUUAAAAAAAUAACAUACAUAAUACUCAAUAUACAGUAACACCAGUCAUCCUGACAAUCAGUACCAGCCGGCAAAAGAUCAAAGUCAGAUUAACUACCACAGCAUGUACUUUCAACUUGUUGCUUUUUAAUCCUACAGUUGCUACAUUCAGAUGACAGUUUACAUUUUUUUUAAAUAGCAAUAAAUUACUCUAGGAUCGCAUAAACUUAAGUAAUUUAUUCAAAUAUUUUAAUAAAUUAAGUACUUUUUUGUAAAAUAUAAAAUAAUUGUUCGUGUUUAUUAAGCCCGGUUGAAACAACUUCUAAUAUUACUACAGGGAAUUACCGCUCGAAUUUGAUCGUACCGAAGGGUUUGCGCAAUUCAUUUGUUUGCAGAGAUAAAAAAAUAACUGUAACUAUAACUAUAAUUUGUUUUUAUUUGUAAGUGUCUUAUGAUGAAAAAAUAUUCAUAUACUUCAUAUGAAGAUUCUAAAUACGGUAAUUAUAAAAAUUUUGAGAACCUUAAAGGUGCUUCUUUUGGGCGACGUAAAAGACAGUUUCCACCGUACAGUAAUUGGACAAAGGACAUAAAUAAAGUUCACGAUAAGAAGAAAACAGAGGCAUACAAAGGUACGUAUGCUAAAAAGAAAAAAGAAGCUUCUGAUUUCCGUUACGGUAAUUAUCACCAGUAUUAUGGCUAUCGAAACCAAGGUAGUAUUGAUAGCAGAAUUCUGUGCAUGAAAAAAGAAUGGUUUAAGAGCAAAGAUGUAUUGGACAUAGGCUGUAAUGCCGGCCAUUUUACACUAGCAUUAGCCCGAGACUUUUCUCCGAGUUCUAUUAUUGGUAUUGACAUUGAUGAUGCUCUCGUUAAAAUGGCUAUGCGGAAUAUUCGACAUUAUAUUCUCCCGGAAAAUAUAUUAGAUGAAGACUUCCCUAUUUCUUUAGUAUUAAGUUAUGGACCUGUUGCACAAGCUAUUGAUCCAAAAGGCAGAUAUCCAGCUGGUAAUUUUCCUUUUAAUGUCCAGUUUAUUCAGGGAAAUUAUAUUUUAUCAUCCAGUGAUCAUCCAUACAUCAGUGAAGAAGAACCUUAUUUUGAUACCAUUUUAUGCUUAAGUGUGACCAAAUGGAUACAUUUGAAUUGGGGAGAUGAUGGUAUUAAAAGAUUGUUCAAUAGGAUAUAUGCACAUCUUCGACCUGCUGGCAAACUAAUUCUAGAAGCUCAAGCAUUUUCAUCCUAUGCAAAGAAAAAGAAGAUUACUAUAUGUGGCUUCUGUACAAUGGAAAUCAUCUCUGUAACAGAGAAGUAGCUGUUGGCUGUUUAACUUAUGGAUGUACGAGGCAUUCUCCUUGUUUUCAUGGAUAGUUUAAUCAAGCACAUUACGUGCUUGUUUAUAAAAGAAGAAAUAUUUGAACACUAUAAAUCAAUUAAAUUAAAACCUGAGAUGUUUAAUGAAUAUCUUGUAAAUGAAGUGGGAUUUAAAUCCUGUGAAUUAAUAGAUACCCCAGCACAUUCUUCACAAG